rnacentral:rRNA from 1 species
CAGCCGCCGCGGGAAUACGGAGGGAGCUAGCGUUGCUCGGAAUUACUGGGCGUAAAGCGCGCGUAGGCGGUUACUCAAGUCAGAGGUGAAAGCCCGGGGCUCAACCCCGGAACUGCCUUUGAAACUAGGUGACUAGAAUCUUGGAGAGGUCAGUGGAAUUCCGAGUGUAGAGGUGAAAUUCGUAGAUAUUCGGAAGAACACCAGUGGCGAAGGCGACUGACUGGACAAGUAUUGACGCUGAGGUGCGAAAGCGUGGGGAGCAAACAGGAUUAGAUACCCCAGUAGUCCCUGUCUCUUAUAC